UACCCUGUGUGUCCACAUGAGGGCGCUACAU
rnacentral:piRNA from 1 species